CCUUUUACAAGGGAUGUGACGUCAGCUGUUACAGGGGUUUGCAUUAUGUUGGCAUCCAAGAUAUUAGGUGGGAUUGACAGUGGAAUGUGUUUCCAACCCCCCUCCUUCGUUGUCAAUAUUAAUUAGGUGUUUGGAGACAGUUUUACGAAUCAACAGGAGUCAGGCAGUUUGCAAACAUUUCGAGCUUUCAGAGCAAAAGUCACUGGACAGAUCUCGGUGCUGGAAUGGAAUAAUCAGCAUUCACUGGCAGCUCCUUCCAGGGCUCACGAUGAUAAACGCAACACAGGACGUGGGAGUCACUGGCCAGGCCUGCAUUCAUUGCCCAUCCUUUAUUGCUCAUCCAUUAUUGCCCAGACGGCAGGUGAGAGUCAACCACAUUGCUAUGGGUCUGGAGUCACAUGUAAGCCAGACCAGCAUGAUCCCUCCAGCAGAGGUCACUAGAUAGGCAUCCGCAUGAAAAUUCCUGUAUGACUUCUGCUUUCCUCAACCACAGUGCACUGAAGCAAAUUAGAAGCACUCGCAGCG